UCAAAAUUCGAAUUCCCACUCAUCCCCACUUCCCCAUACAUCCAGUCUUUUCAUUUCACAUCAGUCUCUUCCUUUCCUUCUCUACUCCUCUCAAAACCAUCUCCAAUUCUCAAUUUUCUGUACGCAUGACCCAAUUUCUCCAUGGCUGUUCUUGCAAAAUCCCUAGAUUCCAAAAUAUUGAGCCACGAUCUGAACAAAACCAGCUUCAGAUCUAAACAAAACCACCCACGAAAAGGUUUGCAAUGGUGAACAGAAUCCCCUCUACUCCAUGGUUUCAGCCGUCACUGAUGACACUCCAGGUUCUUCCCUUCUCUGGUUCCAGAGAUGACUAUGGUGGUGUCACGGAAGAGGUUUGCAACGGAACAACUGUGCUGGAACCUUUGAAGAUCGACGAUGAUGGCGGCGGUUAGGGUUCCGGUUCUUCCCUUCUCUGGUUCCAAAGUGACACCGUUCUUUUGAAUCACUGGAUUUCAUUUACAUUUGUUUGUGUUUUUAAGAUGGAUCUUUGUUUUUUCUGUAGGUCAUGGUUUAAAGAACAGAUUUGAUUUGCUGAAAGAUCAAGACCACGACCAGUUACGCCCCUACGCCCCUGAAGACGAAGAUGACGUUGAUGGUGAGUUAUGUAUCAGAGAUUCAGAGCAAGCCCUAACCCUAGAUUUCAAUAAUGUCAUCUAAGCAAGUUCUUGCUGCAAAGGUGGAAAAGUGAAGCCACUGAAGCAACCAAAGGCUGAAAAGAAAGAAUACAAUGAGGAUUAGCAGAGUUCCCUGAUGCCAUUCAGUUACGAGACCAGUUGCUUCAGUUACGAGACCAGUUGCUGUUGCUAUGACGGAUAAAUUAGCAGAUGUUCGUAAAGCAGCAGAGGCAUGCUUUGGGGAUGUUGUUUGUGGACCAGAAAUGUCAUGAAGAAUGUAAGAGAUAUUCAAGGUCUCGCGCUGGCAAUUGUUCUUGAACGAUUGAAGACACAUGGUGCAUUUCCAGAAGUGCAUGAGAACACAAGAACACAAGAACAAUCCCAGCUGGACAAACAUCGAAAACAGGUUCAAAUAUUGGCAAACCAAAUAGUCAUGGAUCAAGGCAUGGAAGCACAUAUCAAGCGCGUAUAGGCUUAAUGACAGCUGGCUCUUAUGGACUCCCACAGUUCCGGAUGUGAAUGAUUAUGUGGGGUGCUAGGCCCAAUGAGAAACUACCACAAUACCCGUUACCCACACUGGUGAGAAGUGUAGGAUGUAUACUGGGAGUGCCCUGCUACUAAAUACAGUUACUCUGAGAUUACUGCAGCACUAGGCACUCAUGUUCCAGUCUUUACUAAUCAUCCGGACGGAAUAAUUGGAAAGGGUGCAAUUUCUGAUGAAAUCUACGAGGUUGAGUGGUAUUUUCGUCCAGACGAGGUUGAUUCAGUAAUGUUGAUUGUUGGAUUUCUACCAGGGUUGAAAGUCACAAUAAUCUCGCUUUUAAAGCAAAUUCAGGUUAUAAAUCUCUUUUUUUUUCCUAUAGUGGUUUAAUUGUUCUUUUUAACAGACAUCUGGGAGUUCUCAACUUCGGUUUCAGGGUGUAACUCCCCUGCUGCCAUAAUGAUGUUCGCUUAUAUUCCAGUUUUCAUGAUAAUAUAUAUUCAUCUGUUUGGGGAAGCCGUCGAUGACGAUCUAUCGGACAAUUUCAUUGUGAAGACAUGCCAAAGAUGCAUCCCAGUAACAUGUAAUAACGAAGCCGGCGAGUUUAUGGAAGCCGGCAUGUGUGAUUGGUGUGAGUUGGGCAGUUUUUUAUGGUUAUUCUUGUUGAGCCUUGGUUUAGUGGUGUUCCAAUCGGGUUCGUUUCAGGUAUCUUUUGGUGCAGUAUGUUUUGAGCCUGGAAGUUUCCCAGAUAAAUGUGUAACAUGGGCAAGAGGAUUGGUCGACGAAGAAGAUGACCAAUUUCUGGUGCAUUCUUUCAUCGCCCCUGUUUUUUCAAUGGGUCACCAUCAAGUAGAGUUUCUUACCUGCGAAUACAGGACACACCAUUUGGGGAUGGCGACAAUAUCUUAUCUUUCUCUUCACAUGUUGUUUGAUUUUUUGUAUGAAUUUGAUUUACUCUCACUUUUAAAACCAAGUUCCCGUCCCUUUUAUGGGUCGUUGCUUGUUUCCUAACUUCUCUAUUGUAUAUAUAAUACUUUGACUAGCUUAUGUGACCACUAAGUUUUUUUUGGACUUCA